UAAAGUCGUAACAAGGUUUCCGUAGGUGAACCUGCGGAAGGAUCAUUAU
rnacentral:rRNA from 1 species